CAGGAUUCCCCUAGUAACGGCGAGUGAAGCGGGAAGAGCUCAAGCUUAAAAUCUCCGUGCAAGUUUUGCGCGGCGAAUUGUAGUCUAUAGAGGCGUGAUCAGUGUGGGCGCUUGGGGCAAGUUCCUUGGAAGAGGACAGCAUGGAGGGUGAUACUCCCGUUCAUCCCUGAGUUGCUCGUGCGUACGAUCCGUUUUCUUUGAGUCGCGUUGUUUGGGAAUGCAGCGCAAAGUAGGUGGUAAAUUCCAUCUAAAGCUAAAUAUUGGUGCGAGACCGAUAGCGAACAAGUACCGUGAGGGAAAGAUGAAAAGAACUUUGAAAAGAGAGUUAAAGAGUACCUGAAACUGCUGAAAGGGAACCGAAUCGUUUCCAGUGUCUAUAAUCCGUGGUAUAUUUCAUUGGCGAGUGUGUGCGUGCGUGUGCUGUGGCAGCGGCUUUUUUGGCUGCGCUCGGCGUGUGUGCUGUGUGUGCUUGCUGGUGCCCUGUGCUGCGGUGGGACGUCAAGGUCAGUUCGUAUGCUGCGGGAAAUGGCCGCCGAGGAGGUAGGGCUUACGCUUGCGUUUGUCUGUUAUAUCUUGGUGGACGAGUAGUCGCGGUUGGGACUGAGGUGCCUACAACGUGUUUUUGAGUGGGCCUGUGUCUCUGUGUGCGCCGUGUGCGGAUAGCUUGCUAUGCGUGUGUGGUUGUGUGUGGAUUGAUGUGGGUUUUAACUUGUUGCCGUUCGGGACGUUGACGAAAUGGAGCGAUUUGACCCGUCUUGAAACACGGACCAAGGAGUCUAACAUGUGUGCAAGUGUUAGGGUGUGGAAACCCCAGCGCGAAAUGAAAGUGAAGGGCAGCGUAAGUUGUCUGAGGUAGGAAAUGCUGCGGGCUUCGGUCUGCGGUGUGGCACUAUCGACCGAUCAUGAACCUUCGUGGUGAAAGAUUUGAGUUUGAGCACAUAUGUUGGUACCCGAAAGAUGGUGAACUAUGCCUGAGUAGGGUGAAGCCAGGGGAAACUCUGGUGGAAGCUCGUAGCGAUUCUGACGUGCAAAUCGAUCGUCAAACUUGGGUAUAGGGGCGAAAGACUAAUCGAACCAUCUAGUAGCUGGUUCCCUCCGAAAUUUCCCUCAGGAUAGCAGCAACUUAUUUACGAUAGUUUUAUGAGGUAAAGCGAAUGAUUAGAGGAUUCGGGGAAGAAACUUCCUCGACCUAUUCUCAAACUUUAAAUCUGUAAGACCUGCAGGUUUCUUAAU
rnacentral:rRNA from 1 species